rnacentral:pre_miRNA from 2 species
UCUUAUGAAUGAACAAAAACCAUGGUUUCUUGAAAUGGAAUCUACUCCUGGUGAAGAUGCUAUGAA